AUUCCAGCUCCCCUUUCGUCUCUUCCCGUUGUUGCGGUUCCCCCGCUCGUCGUUGGCGUUCUGCCAGGUGACGCUCGUCCGCCCAAGUGGUGUGUACAGGGCGUGCAUCUGGCCCCUUCAAGGGGAACGUGUUGCACUUUAUUGUGUGGCGCGAGAUCCUUGACUUUUACUUUGAGGAAAUAAGAGUGUUCCAAGCAGGCUCUCGUCGUGCAUAGCUCAGCAUGGAAUAAUAGCAUUGGACUUCGUUUCUACGCUGUUGGUUGCAAGAAGCGAGGUAAUGAUGAAGAGGGAUAGUCAGGGGCACUCGUAUUCCGCCGAGAGAGGUGAAAUUCUCAGACCAGCGGAAGACGAACCACUGCGAAAGCAUUUGCCAGGGAUGUUUUCAUUG
rnacentral:rRNA from 1 species